UACGGAGGGUGCAAGCGUUAUCCGGAUUCACUGGGUUUAAAGGGUGCGUAGGCGGACAGGUAAGUCAGUGGUGAAAUCUCCGAGCUUAACUCGGAAACUGCCGUUGAUACUAUUUGUCUUGAAUAUUGUGGAGGUAAGCGGAAUAUGUCAUGUAGCGGUGAAAUGCUUAGAUAUGACAUAGAACACCAAUUGCGAAGGCAGCUUACUACACAAUGAUUGACGCUGAGGCACGAAAGCGUGGGGAUCAAACAGG
rnacentral:rRNA from 1 species